CAGGCUCCCGGGAGACCCAUCUCAGGGUCUUCAUUGAGAGCAUCACAAGCAUCCAUACGGGGCAGCUGACACUGUGGUGCGGCCAUUGUGCAGGUGCUGUGUGGUUGCUGUUGUGUGCUUGGCUAUGGCUGUGUGGUCUUAUGGUGGCUGCAGCUGUGUUGCUGUGAGGUUGUGAAUCUGUUGCAGGUAUUCUGGCUCCUUCAUCACAGCUGGAGGAGGAGGAAGCCAGCUGCUGGGGAGGGGUGACCGCUGGAUACCUGACCCCAGCCCAUCACCCGGCACCGGCUGUGCCCAGACACUGAGAAGUCCCAAGAUCUUCAAUUAGCAAGCUGGAAACCCUGUCUGAGGCCUGAGAACCAGGAAAGCCAAUAAGCCUUCAAUGAAUUGGAGGAGACCCACCACAUCAGGAAGGGUAACCUGUUUCAUAGUCCACCGAUUCCAUUUAAUCUCAUCCAGAAACAUCCUUGCAGACACAGCCAGAAUAAAAUUUGACCAGAU